rnacentral:rRNA from 1 species
AACGAACGCUGGCGGCGUGGAUAAGACAUGCAAGUCGAACGGGAGUUUAUUUAUAGCAAUAUGAGUGAACUCUAGUGGCGAAAGGGUGCGUAACACGUAGCUACCUACCUCGAAGUUGGGGAUAGCUCGGCGAAAGCCGGAUUAAUACCGAAUGUGAUCGUGAGAUUAAAGCUGGGGAUCGUAAGACCUGGCGCUUUGAGAUGGGGCUGCGGCCUAUCAGCUAGUUGGCGGGGUAACGGGACCCGA